CACGGAAUUAAAAAAAAAUCUGGACUUAACUCUGAAAACUGUCUUUGUCUUUGUUUAUUACAUUUAUUUUCACAGAAAUGGAAGCGUUUUACACUGAAGUGAAGCAUUACCUGAAGCUAAACCAAUACCACAGCCUAACCACCACCGCCCUCAACCCAGAAGGCAGGAAGGGUUACAUAAGGAAGGUCUCAAAGAUCAACCUUCUGGGGGAAAAGACAUCCACGUUGUUGACGCACAUGUGGUUCCAACUUGGAAGUCUGAAACAGUGGACCCAAUGGCUGGUCUUCCAGGACCUAGCACAGCGCAUUGCCCCAGGCCAGUGGAGAACUUAGCAUGGCAGAGACUUCGAGGGUUUCCCGUGCCAAACCACCGGCAAUUACUGUGGUGUCCUCAUCCUGAUGCUGAACAUGGCAGACAUCAGGAAAUGGUGGUGCAUUUCACUAAUGGAACGUUUCCAGAUUGAUGGAUAUGAAAAAACUUUAUUUUUUAUAAAUGUUAACUAUUAUGUUACUAUCUCACUCAAAAGCCAUGGAUGGAGGCUUGCGUACUGGACCAACGAAGCCCGAGCAUUGCUUGCAGGGUUGCUGGAGCCAGUGUAUAGGGUCCCAAAGGCAAGAAAGACCGAACGGCAAAGGACACCCACUGGACACUGGGCAUCAGUGCCACUCUCCCCUACGUAUUAAUUAUUUUUU
ensembl:lncRNA